rnacentral:rRNA from 2 species
UGGGGAAUAUUGCACAAUGGGGGAAACCCUGAUGCAGCGACGCCGCGUGAGUGAAGAAGUAUUUCGGUAUGUAAAGCUCUAUCAGCAGGGACGAUAAUGACGGUACCUGACUAAGAAGCCCCGGCUAACUACGUGCCAGCAGCCGCGGUAAUACGUAGGGGGCAAGCGUUAUCCGGAUUUACUGGGUGUAAAGGGAGCGUAGGCGGCAUGGUAAGUAAGGUGUGAAAGCCCGGGGCUCAACUCCGGGAUUGCAUUUGAAACUACCAGACUAGAGUGCAGGAGAGGUAAGUGGAAUUCCUAGUGUAGCGGUGAAAUGCGUGGAUAUUAGGAAGAACACCAGUGGCGAAGGCGACUUACUGGACUGAAACUGACGCUGAGGCUCGAAAGCGUGGGGAGCAAACAGG